rnacentral:rRNA from 1 species
GACGAACGCUGGCGGCGUGCCUAAUACAUGCAAGUCGAACGCAUUUUCUUUCACCGUAGCUUGCUACACCGAAAGAAAAUGAGUGGCGAACGGGUGAGUAACACGUGGGUAACCUGCCCAUCAGCGGGGGAUAACACUUGGAAACAGGUGCUAAUACCGCAUAAUUCCAUUUACUGCAUGGUAGAUGGAUGAAAGGCGCUUUUGCGUCACUGAUGGAUGGACCCGCGGUGCAUUAGCUAGUUGGUGGGGUAACGGCCUACCAAGGCUGCGAUGCAUAGCCGACCUGAGAGGGGGAUCGGCCACACUGGGACUGAGACACGGCCCAGACUCCUACGGGAGGCAGCAGUAGGGAAUCUUCGGCAAGGGACGCAAGUCUGACCGAGCAACGCCGCGUGAGUGAAGAAGGUUUUCGGAUCGUAAAACUCUGUUGUUAGAAAAGAACAAGGAUGAGAGUGGAAAGUUCAUCCCUUGACGGUAUCUAACCAGAAAGCCACGGCUAACUACGUG